rnacentral:rRNA from 1 species
ACCAAACGAAAGUUUGGCUAAUACCGCGUAAGCUCCAAGGAGGAAAGUAGGGGACCUAAAUAAGGCCUUACGCUAUUUGAUCGGCCGAUGUCGGAUUAGCUAGUUGGUGGGGUAAUGGCUCACCAAGGCAAUGAUCCGUAGCGGGUCUGAGAGGACGAUCCGCCACACUGGGACUGAGACACGGCCCAG